rnacentral:rRNA from 1 species
GACGGGGGGGGCAAGUGUUCUUCGGAAUGACUGGGCGUAAAGGGUGCGUAGGCGGCGCGGUAAGUCGGGUGUGAAAUCUCGGAGCUUAACUCCGAAACUGCAUUCGAUACUGCCGUGCUUGAGGACUGGAGAGGAGACUGGAAUUUACGGUGUAGCGGUGAAAUGCGUAGAUAUCGUAAGGAAGACCAGUGGCGAAGGCGGGUCUCUGGACAGUUCCUGACGCUGAGGCACGAAGGCCAGGGGAGCAAACGGG